rnacentral:lncRNA from 1 species
UCGCUUGACAAAGGAUAUCCAGACAGCAUCUCAGGACGUCUGAGACACCCACGCGACUAUACAUCGGAAGGCGGACGGACUUUCCUCCGGGAGGAUGUGGAAAUAGGUGAAAACUCUCCGACCCCGACGGGCAUCCUAGUACCCGCAAGCGGCUUUCUUCCAACGGACGCCCCCAGAGGAUCCACACACAUCUAGGGCAGGAGCGAGAACACAACAGAGGAGCGACGGUGGAAACAGGUGACCAGAACCCUACUUAAACCCCCCGCAAUUACUCCUAAACGCAGAGGGAAACUUUGGAGUUGCACACCUGAGCCCGCGGGGAGAGUCUCUCCCCGCCAUUGGCGGGGAGACCCGGCCUGGUGCUCGGGGCGCCCGGAGGGUCCCAGAGAGAGACACGGAGGGCACGGAGGUCUCCCAGCUGCCGUUGCCCGCCCCGUGGGACUAGGGAUUGCCGGAGAUCUCGGAGAGGACCGGGGCGGGGGAACUUUCAAAGGCGGGUCCGGCGACCCGGUGGAGAAGCGCUGGAGCUCCGCCCGGGCAGCAGACAAAACUCUCUGUCUGCCAUUAGCAGAGGGGCCACGCCCAGCAUUCAGGGCUCCCGGCAGAGGCUCGGACAGAAGCCCAGAGGGCGGGGCGUCCCCCAGCUGCCGUUGCCCGCCCCGUGGGACUAGGGAUUGCCGGAGAUCUCGGAGAGGACCGGGGCGGGGGAACUUUCAAAGGCGGGUCCGGCGACCCGGAGGGGAAGCGCCGGAGCUCCGCCAGGCAGCAGACAAAACUCUCUGUCUGCCGGUAGCAGAGGGGCCACGCUGAGCAUUCAGAGCUCCCGGCAGAGGCCGGGAGAGAAGCCCAGAGGGCGGGGCGACCCCCAGCUGCCAUUGCCCACCCGGUGAGGCUAGGGAUUGCCGGAGAUCUCGGAGAGGACUGGGGCUGGAGAGAGUUCCAGAGACCCAGCUUAGUAGCCUAGGGGGAAACCCUACAGGCUCACAGAAGCCUUAGGGAAAGCCUCUGCACAGCACCAGUAGAAGGCACCCAGCCGCCAGCCACAAGGCUGGAAGACCCCAGGGCAAAAGCAGCAUAGCUAGGUGUACUAACCACAGACUGUAGAAGAUGCCAAUAGCUCUCCUGGGACCCAUAGAGGAUAAGUGAGAUUUGGUGGGUGCCGACAGCAACCGAGCGACAAAUAAAAGUGAUCCCACCCCUGGCCGCUGGAAAAGCCCAUUAUAUACAUAGCAGACCCCAAGGAGAGAGCGCAUCUAGGUGGGCAACAACAGUAGGCACCUGCAGCCUGAAGCCCCCCGUGACGGCCCCCACGGCAGAGGAGGGAAUCCAAA